rnacentral:rRNA from 1 species
CAAGUCGAACGGGGAUAUACCGGAUGAGAGCUUCGGCAGGAUUCGGGUAUAUUCGAGUGGCGACGGGUGAGUAACGCGUGAGCAAUCUGUCCCAGACAGGGGAUAACACUUGGAAACAGGUGCUAAUACCGCAUAAGACCACGGCCUCACAUGGGGCAGGGGUAAAAGGUGCAAACCGGUUUGGGGUGAGCUCGCGUCCGAUUAGAUAGUUGGUGAGGUAACGGCCCACCAAGUCGACGAUCGGUAGCCGACCUGAGAGGGUGAUCGGCCACAUUGGAACUGAGAGACGGUCCAAACUCCUACGGGAGGCAGCAGUGGGGAAUGUUGGGCAAUGGGGCCGAAAGCCUGACCCAGCAACGCCGCGUGAGUGAAGAAGGCCUUCGGGUUGUAAAGCUCUGUUAUAGGGGACGAAGAGCGUGACGGUACCCUAUAAGGAAGCCCCGGCUAACUACGUGCCAGCCGCGGC